rnacentral:rRNA from 1 species
GAGACCGGCGCACGGGUGCGUAACGCGUAUGCAAUCUACCUUUUACAGGGGAAUAGCCCAGAGAAAUUUGGAUUAAUGCCCCAUAGUAUGUAUGAAUCGCAUGGUUUAUACAUUAAAGUUCCAACGGUAAAAGAUGAGCAUGCGUCCCAUUAGUUAGUUGGUAAGGUAACGGCUUACCAAGACGAUGAUGGGUAGGGGUCCUGAGAGGGAGAUCCCCCACACUGGUACUGAGACACGGACCAGACUCCUACGGGAGGCAGCAGUGAGGAAUAUUGGACAAUGGGCGCAAGCCUGAUCCAGCCAUGCCGCGUGCAGGAAGAAGCAUCUAUGGUGUGUAAACUGCUUUUGUACAGGAAGAAACACUCCCUCGUGAGGGAGCUUGACGGUACUGUAAGAAUAAGGAUCGGCUAACUCCGUGCCAGCAGCCGCGGUAAUACGGAGGAUCCAAGCGUUAUCCGGAAUCAUUGGGUUUAAAGGGUCCGUAGGCGGUUUGAUAAGUCAGUGGUGAAAGCCCAUCGCUCAACGAUGGAACGGCCAUUGAUACUGUCAGACUUGAAUUACUAGGAAGUAACUAGAAUAUGUAGUGUAGCGGUGAAAUGCUUAGAUAUUACAUGGAAUACCAAUUGCGAAGGCAGGUUACUACUAGUGGAUUGACGCUGAUGGACGAAAGCGUGGGGAGCGAACAGGAUUAGAUACCCUGGUAGUCCACGCCGUAAACGAUGGAUACUAGCUGUUGGGAGUAAUCUCAGUGGCUAAGCGAAAGUGAUAAGUAUCCCACCUGGGGAGUACGU